rnacentral:rRNA from 1 species
AAUGAACGCUGGCGGCAUGCCUAACACAUGCAAGUCGAACGAAGGCUUCGGCCUUAGUGGCGCACGGGUGCGUAACGCGUGGGAAUCUGCCCUUGGGUUCGGAAUAACAGUUAGAAAUGACUGCUAAUACCGGAUGAUGUCGUAAGACCAAAGAUUUAUCGCCCAAGGAUGAGCCCGCGUAGGAUUAGCUAGUUGGUGGGGUAAAGGCCCACCAAGGCGACGAUCCUUAGCCGGUCUGAGAGGAUGAUCAGCCAAACGGGGACUGAGACACGGACCAGACUCCUACGGGAGGCAGCAGUGGGGAAUAUUGGACAAUGGGCGAAAGCCUGAUCCAGCAAUGCCGCGUGAGAGAUGAAGGCCUUAGGGCUGUAAAGCUCUUUUACCCGGGAUGAUAAUGACAGUACCGGGAGAAUAAGCUCCGGCUAACUUCGUGCCAGCCGCCGCCGUAAAAC